GUCGAGAAUCUUCCGCAAUGCGCGAAAGCGUGACGGAGCGACACCGCGUGAUGGAUGAAGUCCUUCGGGGCGUAAACAUCUUUUAUAAAGGAGGAAAUUUUUGACGUUACUUUAUGAAUAAGGGGCUCCCAAUCUCGUGCCAGCAGGAGCGGUAAUACGAGAGCCUCAAGCGUUAUCCGGAAUCAUUGGGCGUAAAGGGUGCGUAGGUGGUUUGAUUAGUCUCCCGUUAAAACUUCGAGCUUAACUCGAAAAGAGCGGGGGAAACGGUCAAACUAGAGUAUGUGAGAGGUGUGUGGAACUCAUGGUGUAGGGGUGAAAUCCGUUGAUAUCAUGGGGAACACCAAAAGCGAAGGCAGCACACUGGCACAUCACUGACACUGAGGCACGAAACCUAAGGUAGCGAAUGGGAUUAGAUACCCUUGUAGUCC
rnacentral:rRNA from 1 species